rnacentral:rRNA from 1 species
CAACGCUUUUGGCAACGAAUUUUGGCUCCCCCUCGAGAGAACGUAGCAAAAUGGGAACUUGGGGGAAUGCAGAAUCCCGUGAACCAUCGAGUUUUGAACGCAAGUGCGCCGAAGCCAUUCGGUUGAGGGCACGUCUGCCUGGGCGUCACGCAUCGCGUCGCUCC